rnacentral:rRNA from 1 species
GUAACACGUAUCCAACCUGCCGUCUACUCUUGGACAGCCUUCUGAAAGGAAGAUUAAUACAAGAUGGCAUCAUGAGUCCGCAUGUUCACAUGAUUAAAGGUAUUCCGGUAGACGAUGGGGAUGCGUUCCAUUAGAUAGUAGGCGGGGUAACGGCCCACCUAGUCUUCGAUGGAUAGGGGUUCUGAGAGGAAGGUCCCCCCACAUUGGAACUGAGACACGGUCCAAACUCCUACGGGAGGCAGCAUG